rnacentral:tRNA from 3 species
GCCGGUGUAGCUCAGCUGGUAGAGCAGCGCAUUCGUAAUGCGAAGGUCGGGAGUUCGAUUCUCUUCACCGGCACCA